rfam:Janibacter sp. Soil728 contig_1, whole genome shotgun sequence.
GGUCAUGAGUCCCAGCGCGUAGCCCCGGCUUGCUGGGCGGCAACCCUCCACCCUCGGUGGGGUGCCCCGGGUGACGACCUGGGCGUCGGUCGACCGGCCGCGCCAAGCGCGGGUU